rnacentral:rRNA from 1 species
GCGGACGGGUGAGUAACGCGUGAGAAUCUGCCCUCAGGACGGGGACAACAGCUGGAAACGGCUGCUAAUGCCCGAUGUGCCGAGAGGUGAAACAUUUAUGGCCUGAGGAUGAGCUCGCGUCUGAUUAGCUAGUUGGUGGGGUAAAAGCCUACCAAGGCGACGAUCAGUAGCUGGUCUGAGAGGAUGAUCAGCCACACUGGGACUGAGACACGGCCCAGACUCCUACGGGAGGCAGCAGUGGGGAAUUUUCCGCAAUGGGCGCAAGCCUGACGGAGCAAGACCGCGUGCGGGAGGACGGCCUAUUGGUUGUAAACCGCUUUUGAUAGGGAAGAAGUUCUGACGGUACCUAUCGAAUCAGCAUCGGCUAACUCCGUGCCAGCAGCCGCGGUAAUACGGAGGAUGCAAGCGUUAUCCGGAAUUAUUGGGCGUAAAGCGUCCGUAGGUGGUUGUUCAAGUCUGCUGUUAAAGCGUGCGGCUUAACCUGCAUACCAGCAGUGGAAACUGGGCAACUAGAGUGCGGUAGGGGUCAGGGGAAUUCCCAGUGUAGCGGUGAAAUGCGUAGAUAUUGGGAAGAACACCGGUGGCGAAAGCGCCUGACUGGACCUGCACUGACACUGAGGGACGAAAGCUAGGGGA